rnacentral:rRNA from 1 species
ACGACCGGCGCACGGGUGAGUNAGGCGUAUGCAACCUUCCCUUAAUUGGGAGAUAGCCCGGGGAAACCCGGAUUAAUAUCCCAUAAUAUCAUAAAAACACAUGUUUUAAUGAUUAAAGCUUCGGCGAUUAAGGAUGGGCAUACGUGGCAUUAGUUUGUUGGUGAGGUAACGGCUCACCAAGACUACGAUGCCUAGGGGGUCUGAGAGGAUGAUCCCCCACACUGGUACUGAUACACGGACCAGACUCCUACGGGAGGCAGCAGUGAGGAAUAUUGGUCAAUGGAGGCAACUCUGAACCAGCCAUGCCGCGUGCAGGAUGACUGUCCUAUGGAUUGUAAACUGCUUUUGUACGGGAAGAACUCCCCGAUCGUGAUCGGGGCUGACGGUACUGUACGAAUAAGCAUCGGCUAACUCCGUGCCAGCAGCCGCGGUAAUACGGAGGAUGCAAGCGUUAUCCGGAUUUAUUGGGUUUAAAGGGUGCGUAUGCGGAAUAAUAAGUCAGUGGUGAAAGCCUGCAGCUUAACUGUAGAAUUGCCAUUGAUACUGUUAUUCUUGAGUGUAGUUGAGGUGGGCGGAAUGUGUAAUGUAGCGGUGAAAUGCAUAGAUAUUACACAGAACACCAAUUGCGAAAGCAGCUCACUAAACUACUACUGACGCUCAGGCACGAAAGCGUGGGGAGCGAACAGGAUUAGAUACCCUGGUAGUCCACGCUGUAAACGAUGAUCACUCGCUGUUGGCGAUACACUGUCAGCGGGUGAGCGAAAGCGUUAAGUGAUCCACCUGGGAAGUACGUCCGCAAGGAUGAGACUCAAAUGAAUUGACUGGGGCCCGCACAAGCGGUGGAACAUGUGGUUUAA